rnacentral:rRNA from 1 species
CUGGCGGGGUGCUUACCAUGCAAGUCGAACGGAGAUUCAGCAAUGGAUCUUAGUGGCGAACGGGUGAGUAACGCGUAGGCAAUCUGCCUUCUAGAUGGGGACAACAUCCCGAAAGGGGUGCUAAUACCGAAUGUUGUAAUUGGUUCGCAUGGACUAGCUACUAAAGGUGGCCUCUGAAUAUGCUACCGCUAGAAGAUGAGCCUGCGUCUGAUUAGCUAGUUGGAGGGGUAACGGCCCACCAAGGCUUCGAUCAGUAGCCGGUCUGAGAGGAUGAACGGCCACACUGGGACUGAGACACGGCCCAGACUCCUACGGGAGGCAGCAGUGGGGAAUCUUCCGCAAUGGACGAAAGUCUGACGGAGCAACGCCGCGCGAGUGAAGAAGGUUUUCGGAUCGUAAAGCUCUUUCGUUAGGGACGAACGUGCUCUUUGUGAAUAAUGAGGAGUAAUGACGGUACCUAAAUAAGAAGCCACGGCUAACUACGUGCCAGCAGCCGCGGUAAUACGUAGGUGGCAAGCGUUGUCCGGAAUUAUUGGGCGUAAAGCGCGCGCAGGCGGGAUAUCAAGUCUGUCUUAAAAGUGCGAGGCUCAACCUCGUGAGGGGACGGAAACUGGUAUUCUUGAGUGUCGGAGAGGAAAGUGGAAUUCCAAGUGUAGCGGUGAAAUGCGUAGAGAUUUGGAAGAACACCAGUGGCGAAGGCGACUUUCUGGACGAUGUCUGACGCUGAGGCGCGAAAGCUAGGGGAGCGAACGGGAUUAGAUACCCCGGUAGUCCUAGCCGUAAACGAUGGGUACUACGUGUAGGGGUAUCGACCCCUCCU